rnacentral:rRNA from 1 species
CCUACGGGAGGCAGCAGUNNGGGAAUCUUGCACAAUGGGGGAAACCCUGAUGCAGCGAUGCCGCGUGAGUGAAGAAGGCCUUUGGGUUGUAAAGCUCUUUCGUCGGGGAAGAAAAUGACUGUACCCGAAUAAGAAGGUCCGGCUAACUUCGUGCCAGCAGCCGCGGUAAUACGAAGGGACCUAGCGUAGUUCGGAAUUACUGGGCUUAAAGAGUUCGUAGGUGGUUAAAAAAGUUGGUGGUGAAAUCCCAGAGCUUAACUCUGGAACUGCCAUCAAAACUUUUUAGCUAGAGUAUGAUAGAGGAAAGCAGAAUUUCUA